UUUCCCCCUAUUGAAGUAAAAGGUGAAACUCCUGGUUCUGUAUGAAAGUCUCCCUUCAUACGUCAAUUCAUAUGCCAACUUCUUGGGGAAGGACAUUACCUGGACCAUCUGCUACCCAGCCCCCAUCCAUGUGUGCUGCUUUUCAAUUGAAGGACAAAGUAACUGCAUUUCAUUCCUCUGGAUACAUGAUUUGAACCAGAAAGGCACUGGGCUGUGUGCUGGCACCCACCAAAUCCCCGUGGCUAUGCUCAUCUGGUCAUUCCUAUUUGGCACUUGGUGGAACAUUCAGAUGCUUGCAGGUCCACUGCUAUUGUGCUUUUUCAGAAAUUGCUACAAUAGCACACGGACAAGGAAUGAGAGGAACAAGAAAUGUCUCCUCAUGGAGUGAACCCAGAGGAAAAAUGUCUCGCUGCUCUAUGGGUCACAUCCCAAGCCACUCUUCACUCACGUAAGCCAACACCCCUUGCAUUUCCAGAGGGCACA
rnacentral:lncRNA from 1 species